GUACAAAAGCAAGAGAAAGCUGGCUGGGGGGUAGCAGCGCAACAGGUGCUCUGAGUGGCACCCAGGGUCGGGUCCUGGGAGAGGACAGAAAGCAACUGGGACCCCUCUACUCCCGGCAGCUCCCGGUGCCCAGCCACCCACAACUCAAAGCCUUCUAGACAAGCUCAGUGGAAUCUGAAGGGCCCAUCCCAUGGAGGGAUGCUGGGUGACAGAGGUAGCCAAUGGCUCCAUGGAUGGCUUGGACUCCAACCCUAUGAAGGAUUACAUGAUCCUGAGUGGUCCCCAGAAGAUAGCUGUUGCAGUGUUGUGCACUCUUCUGGGCCUGCUAAGUGCCCUGGAGAACGUGGCUGUGCUCUAUCUGAUCCUGUCCUCCCACCGGCUCCGCCGGAAGCCCUCAUACCUAUUCAUUGGCAGCUUGGCUGGAGCUGACUUCCUGGCCAGUGUGGUCUUUGUAUGCAGCUUUGUGAACUUCCAUGUUUUCCAUGGUAUGGAUUCCAAGGCUAUCUUCCUGCUGAAGAUUGGCAGCGUGACCAUGACCUUCACAGCCUCUGUGGGCAGCCUGCUGCUAACCGCUGUUGACCGCUACCUCUGCCUGUGCUACCCACCUUCCUACAAAGCUCUACUCACCCGUGGGAGAGCACUGGUGACCCUGGGCAUCAUGUGGGUCCUCUCAGCACUAGUCUCCUACCUGCCCCUCAUGGGAUGGACUUGCUGUCCUAGGCCCUGCUCUGAGCUUUUCCCACUGAUCCCCAAUGACUACCUGCUGGGCUGGCUCCUGUUCAUCGCCUUCCUCUUUUCUGGAAUCAUCUAUACCUACGGACAUGUUCUCUGGAAGGCCCAUCAGCAUGUAGCCAGCUUAGCUGGGCACCAGGACAGGCAGGUGCCAGGAAUGACCCGAAUGAGGCUGGACGUGAGAUUGGCGAAGACCCUGGGGCUGGUGCUGGCUGUGCUCCUCAUCUGUUGGUUCCCAGUGCUGGCCCUCAUGGUCCACAGCCUGGCUGCUACACUCAGCGACCAGGUCAAGAAGGCCUUCGCCUUCUGCUCCAUGCUGUGCCUUGUCAACUCCAUGGUCAACCCUGUCAUCUACGCUCUGCGGAGUGGGGAAAUCCGCUCCUCUGCCCAUCACUGCCUGGCACGCUGGAAGAAGUGCAUGAGGGACCUUGGGUCAGAAGCAAAAGAAGAAGCCGCAAGGUCCUCAGUCACAGAGACAGAGGCUGAUGGGAAAAUCACUCCGUGGCCAGAUUCCAGAGAUCUAGACCGCUCCCAUUGCUGAUGAGGCGUCUUCCCAAUUUAAACAAAUCAAGUCAGAAACCAGUUCACUCCCAGGAGGAGAGAGAGGGGUCUUGGCACUCUCAUCCUACUUGGACCAGCCUCAGGCACCUAGACACAGAUCCCUUUUUGCUGAUGAGUGUUGGGACUGACUCCUGGAAGGCAACCUGGCCAUGCCUACCUGUGCAGUCUGUUGGAUGGGUAGGGCCCACGAGGAGUAGCCAGGUCACCCUUGCCACUAAGGACCAAGAAUUAUGCUGUGAUGAGGAUCAAGGGUGUUGACUUGCUUCUUUCAGAGAUAAAUGACAAGCCUUCAGUUCAGGGCAUCGUGUUGUUUGGGUGAGGACCCUCUCUGAUAUCCUAAUAAUCCCCACCCACAGCCCCUAUAACCUUAGGUUCCUGGAAAUACAGAGAAGGCUGGGAUACCUUGAGACAUAAAAAUCUUCAGAAAAUUUUUUGAACCUCUGACGUCCUUCCAGCAGCAGUCCUGGGGGUGCUGCUUGAAGCAGGCAACGUCCUAGUCCAGCCUAACUCUAAGAAAAAGGAAGAUAUUCACAAAGAUUGUAUACAUCCCCAAACUGUUCCCCAUCUCCCUCCAAUUCAGCUCCCUUACCUCCUCCACACCCCUAGAACAUAUAAAUUCCCUUCCUAUAUGCCAGGUAUGAGGCUGACAUUCCAGUCCACUGACCACAGCUAGAAUAUAACUCCAUGCUUUUAAAGAUCUAGGGGCUGGGCCCAGUGGCUCACGCCUGUAAUCCCAGCACUUUGGGAGGCCAAGGCAGGUGAAUCACCUGAGGUCAGGAGUUUGAGACCAGCUUGACCAAUAUGGUGAAACCCUAUCUCUACU